UAGUUUGAUCCUGGCUCAGACGACGCUGGCGGCGUGCCUAACACAUGCAAGUCGAGCGAAGUGCUUAUGACUGAUUCCUUCGGGAUGACGACAUAAGUAUCUUAGCGGCGGAUGGGUGAGUAACGCGUGAGAAACCUGCCUUUCACUAAGGAAUAGCCUCGGGAAACUGGGAUUAAUACCUUAUGAUACUUAUCAUUCACAUGAGAGAUAAGUUAAAGCGUAAAGCGGUGAUAGAUGGUCUCGCGUCCCAUUAGCUAGUUGGUGAGGUAAAAGCUCACCAAGGCGACGAUGGGUAGCCGGCCUGAGAGGGUGAACGGCCACACUGGAACUGAGACACGGUCCAGACUCCUACGGGAGGCAGCAGUGGGGAAUAUUGCACAAUGGAGGAAACUCUGAUGCAGCGACGUCGCGUGAACGAUGAAGGUUUUCGGAUCGUAAAGUUCUGUCCUUGGGGACGAUAAUGACGGUACCCAAGGAGGAAGCCCCGGCUAACUACGUG
rnacentral:rRNA from 1 species